GAUGAACGCUAGCUACAGGCUUAACACAUGCAAGUCGAGGGGCAUCAUGGUGGUUGCUUGCAACCGCUGAUGGCGACCGGCGCACGGGUGAGUAACGCGUAUCCAACCUGCCCACUACCAGGGGAUAACCCAGCGAAAGUUGGCCUAAUACCCUAUGGUUUCUUCCGAUUGCAUAAGACGAAGAAUAAAGAUUUUAUCGGUAAUGGAUGGGGAUGCGUCUGAUUAGCUUGUUGGGGGGGUAACGGCCCACCAAGGCAUCGAUCAGUAGGGGUUCUGAGAGGAAGGUCCCCCACAUUGGAACUGAGACACGGUCCAAACUCCUACGGGAGGCAGCAGUGAGGAAUAUUGGUCAAUGGGCGCAAGCCUGAACCAGCCAAGUAGCGUGCAGGAUGACGGCCCUAUGGGUUGUAAACUGCUUUUGUAUGGGGAUAAAGUGAGCUACGUGUAGUUUAUUGCAGGUACCAUACGAAUAAGGACCGGCUAAUUCCGUGCCAGCAGCCGCGGUAAUACGGAAGGUCCGGGCGUUAUCCGGAUUUAUUGGGUUUAAAGGGAGCGUAGGCCGUUUGUCAAGCGUGCUGUGAAAUGCUGGGGCUCAACCUUAGGAUUGCAGCGCGAACUGUCAGACUUGAGUGGGCACAACGCAGGCGGAAUUCGUGGUGUAGCGGUGAAAUGCUUAGAUAUCACGAAGAACUCCGAUUGCGAAGGCAGCUUGCGGGAGCUCAACUGACGCUGAAGCUCGAAGGUGCGGGUAUCGAACAGG
rnacentral:rRNA from 1 species